UGGGGAAUAUUGCACAAUGGGGGAAACCCUGAUGCAGCGAUGCCGCGUGGAGGAAGAAGGUUUUCGGAUUGUAAACUCCUGUUGAAGAGGACGAUAAUGACGGUACUCUUUUAGAAAGCUCCGGCUAACUACGUGCCAGCAGCCGCGGUAAUACGUAGGGAGCGAGCGUUGUCCGGAAUUACUGGGUGUAAAGGGAGCGUAGGCGGGAUGGCAAGUCAGAUGUGAAAACUAUGGGCUCAACCCAUAGACUGCAUUUGAAACUGUAGAGCUUGAGUGAAGUAGAGGCAGGCGGAAUUCCCCGUGUAGCGGUGAAAUGCGUAGAGAUGGGGAGGAACACCAGUGGCGAAGGCGGCCUGCUGGGCUUUAACUGACGCUGAGGCACGAAAGCGUGGGUAGCAAACAGGAUUAGAUACCCUGGUAGUCCACGCUGUAAACGAUGAUUACUAGGUGUGGGGGGUCUGACCCCUUCCGUGCCGGAGUUAACACAAUAAGUAAUCCACCUGGGGAGUACGGCCGCAAGGUUGAAACUCAAAGGAAUUGACGGGGGCCCGCACAAGCAGUGGAGUAUGUGGUUUAAUUCGAAGCAACGCGAAGAACCUUACCAGGUCUUGACAUCCAACUAACGAAGUAGAGAUACAUUAGGUGCCCUUCGGGGAAAGUUGAGACAGGUGGUGCAUGGUUGUCGUCAGCUCGUGUCGUGAGAUGUUGGGUUAAGUCCCGCAACGAGCGCAACCCUUGCUAUUAGUUGCUACGCAAGAGCACUCUAAUAGGACUGCCGUUGACAAAACGGAGGAAGGUGGGGACGACGUCAAAUCAUCAUGCCCCUUAUGACCUGGGCUACACACGUACUACAAUGGAUGUUAACAGAGGGAAGCAAGACAGCGAUGUGGAGCAAACCCCUAAAAACAUUCUCAGUUCAGAUUGCAGGCUGCAACCCGCCUGCAUGAAGAUGGAAUUGCUAGUAAUCGCGGAUCAGCAUGCCGCGGUGAAUACGUUCCC
rnacentral:rRNA from 1 species